AGCCUGAUCAGCAUGCCGCGUGUGUGAAGAAGGCCUGAGGGUUGUAAAGCACUUUCAAAAGAGAAGAAGGGUUCAAGGCUAAUACCCUUGAACAUUGACGUUACCUUUAGAAGAAGCACCGGCUAACUCUGUGCCAGCAGCCGCGGUAAUACAGAGGGUGCAAGCGUUAAUCGGAAUUACUGGGCGUAAAGCGCGCGUAGGCGGUUAGUUAAGUUGGAUGUGAAAGCCCCGGGCUUAACCUGGGAGGGUCAUUCAAAACUGACGGCUAGAGUGUGGUAGAGGGUAGUGGAACUCCUAGUGUAGCGGUGAAAUGCGUAGAGAUUAGGAAGAACACCAGUGGCGAAGGCGACUGCCUGGACCAACACUGACGCUGAGGUGCGAAAGCGUGGGUAGCGAACAGGAUUAGAUACCCUGGUAGUCCACGCUGUAAACGAUGAUAACUAGACGUUGGGUUCCUUAGAGGACUUAGUGUCGAAGCUAACGCGUUAAGUUAUCCGCCUGGGGAGUACGGUCGCAAGAUUAAAACUCAAAGGAAAUUGACGGA
rnacentral:rRNA from 1 species